rnacentral:rRNA from 1 species
UGCCCUACAGUUCCCUGCCCGGGAACAAGGAGCUGGUAUCAGGCACACCCCAUUGAGCCCAUGACAUCUUGCUUAGCCACACCCUCAAGGGAACUCAGCAGUGAUAAACAUUAAGCCAUAAGUGAAAACUUGACUUAGUUAAAGCUAAGAGGGCCGGUAAAACUCGUGCCAGCCACCGCGGUUAUACGAGAGGCCCAAGUUGACAAACACCGGCGUAAGGCGUGGUUAAGUUAAAACUCCUACUAAAGCCGAACAUCUUCAAGGCUGUUAUACGCAACCGAAGACAGGAAGUUCAACCACGAAAGUGGCUUUAUCUGAUCUGAACCCACGAAAGCUAGGGAACAAACUGGGAUUAGAUACCCCACUAUGCCUAGCCCUAAACAUUGAUAGUACUAUACACCCACUAUCCGCCCGGGAACUACGAGCAAUAGCUUAAAACCCAAAUGACUUGGCGGUGCUUUAGAUCCACCUAGAGGAGCCUGUUCUGGAACCGAUAACCCCCGUUCAACCUCACCCUUCCUUGUUUAUCCCGCCUAUAUACCGCCGUCGUCAGCUUACCCUGUGAGGGACUAAUAGUAAGCAAAACUGGUACAACCUAAAACGUCAGGUCGAGGUGUAGCGUAUGGAGGGGGAAGAAAUGGGCUACAUUCGCUACUACAGCGAACACGAAUAGUGUACUGAAACGUACACUUGAAGGAGGAUUUAGCAGUAAGCGG